ACACAGGAGUCGUGAGAAAAUGUAUGUGACUUUACCGCAAACCAAGGCAGAAAGUCCUGGUGAAGGAGGCACCUCGUGGUGGCAGCGAUGGCCCAGGAAGGGAGUGGGUAGGCUGCACGGAGGGCAAAACCAGCUUCACUGCACCCCUCACACUGGGAGAGGGGCCUUUUCAAACCUGAAUUUUAUAAAGCCACAGGACCGCGAAAGUAUAAGAUCUCCUCAGAGGAAAAGAGCUCAGAGCGUGUUCUUACACACCCACAAGACACUGUGAUGCUUUGCAGUGGUUUCCAUUGCUGUUAAAAAUGCACCAUAAAGCUCAAGUGAAAGAGAAGCAUCCUGUGCAUAAGGACCUGCUGGGAGGGCAGAGGAGGGACAACAAGGACCUGUAGAGCACAGUGGGAUGGAAACACUUAACACAGCUCUUUAAUCUGGACCUUUAUUCCCUCUCCAGUAUCUCUUACAAUGAUUUAUACAAGUGAGGUACAGCACUGCCAGAUCUGCAUGAAUGCUUCUAGGAUCAGAAAAAAAAAAAUAAUCCCAUGUGCACUUGUCAUUUUUUAACUGUUUUAAAAAAUAUUUUAUUUAUUCAGUACCAUGUAUUUUUUGCAAGUUUUACAUAAA